GUUGAAUGAAGCUCUUCAUUGUUUCAAAAGACAGGCUACUCCACAGGAGCCUGAGAGCCCAUCGAAGCUGACUGUACAAUACAGAAUGAUGCUGUUAAAUGUUAAGACUGGAGAGAGAGAGAGCGCGCAGAGGAUGCACAGUGAGGGGAUACGCUGGCGAGGGCGAUCGGAAUCCAGUCAGCGUAUAUUCUGAGUCUUCGCUAGACAUGAGUGCUUUCUUCGGAGGCACAAGGCUCCAAAAGAUGUUCAGCACAACAGAGUUCCUCCAGUCUCAUUUCUUUGGUACACCCCAUGAAUUGGUAGGUAAAUGUUUACAUUGUAACUGUUUUGCAAAAUUCUUUAAUU